rnacentral:rRNA from 1 species
AUUGAACGCUGGCGGCAGGCUUAACACAUGCAAGUCGAGCGGAGAUGAGGUGCUUGCACCUUAUCUUAGCGGCGGACGGGUGAGUAAUGCUUAGGAAUCUGCCUAUUAGUGGGGGACAACAUUCCGAAAGGAAUGCUAAUACCGCAUACGCCCUACGGGGGAAAGCAGGGGAUCUUCGGACCUUGCGCUAAUAGAUGAGCCUAAGUCGGAUUAGCUAGUUGGUGGGGUAAAGGCCUACCAAGGCGACGAUCUGUAGCGGGUCUGAGAGGAUGAUCGGCCAAACUGGGACUGAGAAACGGCCCAGACGCCUACGGGAGGCAGCAGUGGGGAAUAUUGGACAAUGGGCGGAAGCCUGAUCCAGCCAUGCCGCGUGUGUGAAGAAGGCCUUUUGGUUGUAAAGCACUUUAAGCGAGGAGGAGGCUACCUGGAUUAAUACUCUAGGAUAGUGGACGUUACUCGCAGAAUAAGCACCGGCUAACUCUGUGCCAGCCGCCGCGGUAACAC